AUUGAACGCUGGCGGCAGGCCUAACACAUGCAAGUCGAGCGGAGCGGCGGACGGGUGAGACAUGCCUAGGAAUCUGCCUGGUAGUGGGGGUUAACGUCCGGAAACGGGCUCUAAUACCGCAUUCUAUUAUCUUCGCCUAGGUCGGAUUAGCUAGUUGGUGGGGUAAAGGCCUACCAAGGCGACGAUCCGUAACUGGUCUGAGAGGAUGAUCAGUCACACUGGAACUGAGACACGGUCCAGACUCCUACGGGAGGCAGCAGUGGGGAAUAUUGGACAAUGGGCGAAAGCCUGAUCCAGCCAUGCCGCGUGUGUGAAGAAGGUCUUCGGAUUGUAAAGCACUUUAAGUUGGGAGGCGUUACCAACAGAAUAAGCACCGGCUAACUUCGUGCCAGCAGCCGCGGUAAUUC
rnacentral:rRNA from 1 species